rnacentral:rRNA from 1 species
UGGCGGACGGGUGAGUAACGCGUGGAUAACCUGCCUUUCACAGGGGGAUAACAGCUGGAAACGGUUGCUAAUACCGCAUGAGCCUCUUUUGUCGCAUGACGGGAGAGGGAAAGAGAAAUCGGUGAGAGAUGGAUCCGCGUCCGAUUAGCUAGUUGGAGGGGUAACAGCCCACCAAGGCGACGAUCGGUAGCCGACCUGAGAGGGUGGACGGCCACAUUGGGACUGAGACACGGCCCAAACUCCUACGGGAGGCAGCAG